rnacentral:lncRNA from 10 species
GUGAGGGCUGUGAGGACUGCCAGCACGCUGUCACCUCUCACUACCACAUUCUCCACCCCAUCGUCUGCUCUCUUGUCCCUGAGCAUGACCUGUGUGUUCUUACCUUUUCCUCUCUCCCCUACUCCAGCUCUUUUAUGUUUGCUGCUUCCUCCUCCUUCAAGACAUCUUUUCUAUGAAUGGGCGAACAAAAGAAAAAAGAUGAUUUCCACAAGUUAUGAAAUUCUUACUAUAUGCUGGGAGCUAUGCUAGACAUUGAAAUUCUCUGAACAUCCCUACCACUCACUUGUUGAGUGAGACCAGGGAGAGUGGAGAUUGCAAUGUCACAGUAGGUGGUCAGAUGGCUGCUCCCACUGGGCCUCAAGAAGUGGCAUUUUAUGGGGAAUGUAACAACCAUAGUUCAAGGUCUGACCUUUGUUUUGGCAGCUUUAGAAAAUUUUCUCUGAUUUAGGAGAAUUAACAUACACUAACCAAGUUCACAAGAAACUAAUAUAUAAACCAAAAUAUCAACUUAUUCUAUUUCUAGGGGUAUGAUUGAAACCAACUUUGCAAAGAUUAUGACAGUGAGAUAAGUCUAGCAUGGUUUAUUUCAUCUUGCUUCUAGCCUCAGAGGCUGGCGCUCAUUCCUGGGCAUAGUCCAAGCUAACCAUGGGAAAAAUUUAGUUUAUAGUUUAACUUUGAAGCAAGGAUGAUAACAGUCCCUCCUUAAAACUGAUCCCUUCCUUGCUCCCACCGAAAACUGCCUUUGUAAAAGUAAUGAAAGGCCAUGAGAUUAGGAUUAUGGGAGAGGCUCAAUUCUGCUUACAUGCAGGCAUAGUUUCUAUAAUCCCCUACUGCUCAGAACCUCUGGCCAGAGGUCACAAGAUUUGUGACUUCCUCAGUUGCUCCUAUAGAUAACACCACUAUUGUAAAACCUAAAAUUGGUCUUUCGAGAUGUUUUUUUUCAGAAUUUUUUUCAUUCUGGCAACCAACUGACCCCACCCGGACCCUGGACUCAUGACUCAACUAGUCCUGUGGCCCCCACCCAGAGGUUGACUCAGUUCCUGAGGACCAUUUUCCACACCCCCAAGAUUUUAUCCCCAAGCAAGUAGCAGCACCCAUUCCCCAGCUCCCUGCUCACCAAAUUAUCCAUAAAACCCUAGUCUCCGAGUUCUUCGAGAGGCUAAUUUGAGUGAUAAUGAAACUCCAGUCCUUCCACUUGGCUGGCUUUGUGUUAAUUAAGCUCCUUACGACAAUAAGGCUGUCUCAGUGAACGAGUGAACUGGGCUUCCUGAGACCAGGAAAGUCAGUUCCAAAUCCCUACAAGGGAGAUGCCCAGCUGACCACCUUCACUUUUGAUUUUCCUGCUUCCAGUAAUCUGAUGAUUUAGUUUAACAAUAAUCUUCUUGCUUCCUGAGUUGUGUCUCCCUAAGUAAGGAGAAAAGAAAUGUUAGUGUAUUUGUUAGCGUGCAUCUUCUGAUCCUAGUGUAUUUGUCAGUGUGCUUCCCUUUCUGAGAUUCAGAUGUGCAUUUCAGUGAGGUGUCUGUCCCCAACCACCAGACAAAGGAGAGUUUACUUAAUGUUCUGCUCUUUGGUUGAGCAAAAAGGCCAUAAAAGAGCUAUUGAUCCCCCCAGCAAUAUAUAACUAAUUCCUUUUCUAAUCCAUAAGAGCCAAGGAGAGCUAAUUCAAUCUCACAAUUCAUUAGCUCAUCUAUUGUCUGAGAUCUAAAACAGAUGCAAGACCAUCAGUUGAACACAAAUUGCCAUUUUGUGCAGCCCCAGCUUCAAGCUGGUCCCUUGUGGCUCCCACCAUUGAAACCCAUUUGCAAUUAUUUCCAUGGAGUUGAGGAAACGUGUUCCUGCUUAUUAGCUAAUCAGCACCACCACAGUCUACCAUUCUAAUUUCUCCUCACAAGGGUCUUCCUUUCCUGUGGAUUCUCCCAUGUUGUUAGGGUUGAGCAGUUUCUCUCUUCCUGAAGACAGUCACCAGGGUACAGCUGAUGCACAGUCAGGCCCAAGCUUGUGACCAAGGCAAUGAUGAUGACCUGGGGCCAUAUGGAAUUGAGUAGCUUGGCCAUGGAUGCACAGGUCUGGGUGAGGCAAAACUGGAAGAGGUUCGAGAAAAGAAGGCAACUAGGAGACAGAAUAGUUAGGAGAGAGAAGAAUUCCCUUUCCCUGGAAGACUCCCUAAAAUCAGACUGCAGAGAUGCACCAUGAACAGAAUGAGGGGAGCAGGGAUGAUAACUUUCAGGCCAGCUUCUUGGGAUGUGAAAGAAUGGAGGGCACCCAAACCUGGGCUCACUGUCCCCAAAUACUUUUACACUGUGGGUAGACAAUACUUCAUUCCCUGAAUUCCAGAGCACCAUAGUUCCUGUUCCUGUGAGUAUUGAUAGUCUGUGUUUAUUAAUAUUUGGGGAUAAGGGUGUAUUUUAAGGUUGCCUGGCAUAUAGGAGGGAGUUAGGGCAAAGGAGACCCCCACAUACCUUAGAUACAGAUCUAUAAGGCAUCAAAUUAAGACAACUCAAGACAGGAAGGAUUCAGAGUCAAAACCACACAACCCGACAGGAUGGAGGCUACAGGUGUGCCCAAGAUACUGAACUCCUCAGUGCUCAGGGUGGUCAGGCCUGGUCACAUCUGGCUGCUAGUGGUUCACAGUUACUGCAAUGGGCUAGGCAAAUAUGAUCAUCUUUCUGUGUGCCAUAUGUAAAGAGCUUGGGAAGUGCUGUUUUAACCAAUCUUUCUCUUCAAUGACAAGGGUAAGGCAAAGUGACAUAAGCCCAAGAAAGCAGAAUCCAGUUCUGCAAUGUGAGGCAUUAAAUGGGAUUGAGAGACUCCCAAAGGGACUCAGAGGUCAGGCAGAGAAUCUGGGAGACUGAGAGGUCAGAACUCAGUGAGUGGCCUGAGAAGUGGGCAUGAGUGACCCGUAAGAAGAAUGGAUCUUCACCAAGUGUUCAAGGCUGCAGUGAACUAUGAUUGCACCACUGCACUUCAGCCUGGGCAACAGAGCGAGACCCUGCUCCCCACUCCCCACCUCCCAAAAAAAGAAGAGUGGAGCUUGAUACUGACCCAUCUGUACUCACUUCUGUGACACCACACUACCACCCUGGGCUGUGGCCUGACCAAGACCAGACUGAAAGAGUGGGUAGAUUCUGUUUCAUGGGAGAAUCAGGGCAGUUCCCCUGCACAAUCUCUCUUGCCUGCUGCCAUGUAAGAUGUGCCUUUGCUCCUCCUUCGCUUUCCACCAUGACUGUGAAGCCUCCCCAGCCAUGAAGAACUGUGAGUCCAUUAAACCUCUUUUUCUUUAUAAUUACUCAGUCUCAGGUAUAUCUUUAUUAGCAUCAUGAGAACAGACCCAUACACUUCCCUUGUACUCAUCAUAUUCAGUGUCCUUUCAUUUCCCAACAUCCACCCAGUUAUCUUACUUCCCCAAAGCAAAGCCUGAGACAAGGACUUGGAUGCAAGUAGUUUAUUUAGGAGGUGAUCUUAGGAAAUAA